rnacentral:rRNA from 1 species
AGAGUUUGAUCCUGGCUAGGACGAACGCUGGCGGCGUGCCUAACACAUGCAAGUCGAGCGGGGACAUACGACGGAGUCAAAGUUUCGGAUGGAGACGAAGAUGUAUGUUCUAGCGGCGGACGGGUGAGUAACGCGUGAGCAACCUGUCCCUUACAGGGGGAUAACACAGCGAAAGUUGUACUAAUACCGCAUGAGACCACGGGAGGACAUCCUCCAGGGGUCAAAGGAGCAAUCCGGUAAGGGGUGGGCUCGCGUCCGAUUAGAUAGUUGGUGAGGUAACGGCCCACCAAGUCGACGAUCGGUAGCCGACCUGAGAGGGUGAUCGGCCACAUUGGGACUGAGACACGGCCCAAACUCCUACGGGAGGCAGCAGUGGGGAAUAUUGGGCAAAUGGGGGAAACCCUGACCCAGCAACGCCGCGUGAGGGAAGAAGGUUUUCGGAUCGUAAACCUCUGUCCUUGGUGAAGGGGAAGAGACGGUAGCCAAGGAGGAAGCCCCGGCUAACUACGUGCCAGCCGCCGC